AGAACUAUACUUUCAUGGAUCAUUUCUAUAGUUUUUGACUUGAGAAAUGUGUUUCUAAAGUGUUUUGUCUCGCUAUCCACGAUGAUAAGAUUUUAGUACUCCUUUUUGAGCGCGAAGAGGGUAGAGAUUGAAGAGUUUACUCUUUUGAUCUCUGCUUUUGAUGACCGUUCCUUGUUUCCCCUGGGGAUUUGGAGGAAGGGAGUAUAGCCAGAGUGGU
ensembl:snoRNA U3 Small nucleolar RNA U3